rnacentral:rRNA from 1 species
AGAGUUUGAUCAUGGCUCAGAUUGAACGCUGGCGGCAUGCCUUACACAUGCAAGUCGAACGGUAACAGGUCUUCGGAUGCUGACGAGUGGCGGACGGGUGAGUAAUACAUCGGAACGUGCCCAGUCGUGGGGGAUAACUACGCGAAAGCGUAGCUAAUACCGCAUACGAUCUAUGGAUGAAAGCGGGGGAUCGCAAGACCUCGCGCGAUUGGAGCGGCCGAUGGCAGAUUAGGUAGUUGGUGGGGUAAAGGCUCACCAAGCCGACGAUCUGUAGCUGGUCUGAGAGGACGACCAGCCACACUGGGACUGAGACACGGCCCAGACUCCUACGGGAGGCAGCAGUGGGGAAUUUUGGACAAUGGGCGCAAGCCUGAUCCAGCCAUGCCGCGUGCAGGAUGAAGGCCUUCGGGUUGUAAACUGCUUUUGUACGGAACGAAAAGUCUCUUUCUAAUAAAGAAGGCUCAUGACGGUACCGUAAGAAUAAGCACCGGCUAACUACGUGCCAGCAGCCGCGGUAAUACGUAGGGUGCAAGCGUUAAUCGGAAUUACUGGGCGUAAAGCGUGCGCAGGCGGUUAUAUAAGACAGUUGU